AGGAACACUGUCAUUCCUUCUCUGACUGCGCCCCAGUCCUAGCCUCUGAGAGCGGCAUCCUGUGCGCUUCCACCCUCCCAGGGCCCAGAUUGUGGCCCUGCCCCCCCACCCCUCCCAUUGCGUGCCAGCGCCUGGAGAGUGUGCCUCUGAAAUGGUUCGAUAUAAAGCGCACCUCCCCAACAAGAAUAGUAUCCAGAAAGGUGGGCAGAAUUAGUGCUUGAGUGACCAGCGAUCUCAGUAACCGCCAGUGUCCACACUUCUGGAGGUGGGGCCAGGAGAAAGGUAACAAAAGUCUUUUCCACAUCACUUGAUAGGUGUGGCCUGCCAAGGCGGGAAUCCAGCUCAAGCACACCUGUUCUCCAGGACAGCCUGUCACUUGAGUAAAUGCCUGCAGGUCCCUUUGUGGUUUGCACUUAACAGCGAUGGUGCAGAGUGUUAUCCAGGGCACCCAGCUCCCCAUCCCUCAAGGGACAUCCGUUCUGGAAACUGGCCCUGUCAACCCUUGCAGGUGGAGGAAGUGAGCGAAUGUUUAGGGCCGUCGUGGAAGUUCUCUGGUUGUCAUACGGUGGCUUGAGCUGAGAGAGGGGAUUGAAUAUGAGCAGUCGGCCAGUCAGGGAUCCGACGACUGGAGUCACGGAGAUAAUACGGGAGGAACCUGCCGCCCCUAGAGCAAGGGGAACAGGUUGGUGUCACCAGGAGCCUAGAAGCCAGGAUGAGGGGGCCUUGAAGAGCCAGAGCCUGGACCUCUGAGGAGGGGCUGCGGCAAUUACUCAGGGAAGGAGAAAACCACCUUAUCCACCGGGAGGGGAAACAGGGCAGGAGAGAGAGACACAGCGAGAGAGGGAACACAAGCAGGGGGAGCGGGAGAGGGAGGAGCAGGCUUCCCGCCGAGCAGGGAGCCCGAUGCGGGGCUCGAUCCCAGGACCCCGGGAUCACGACCUGAGCCGAAGGCAGACGCUUAACGACUGAGGCACCCAGGCGCCCCUACUUCUAAAGUUCUUUUUCCAAAUCUACCUGGACGCUUUUCUUGUUUCUAUUUUAUUAUUAAUUAUUAUUAUAUAAAGGUUGUAUUGAUUUAUUUGAGGGAGGGAGAGAAAGCACGAGAGAGGGAAGGGUCAGCGGGAGAAGCAGACACCCCGCUGAGCCAGGAGCCCAUGCGGGACUCCAUCCUGGUCUGGGACUCGAAUGCUUCUCUGUGUCUUUAUGUUGUUGUCUCUCAGAGGCUAUCAAAGAUUUGGGGAGGUCGGGGUAGCUUUCCAUCACAGUAAUGCAAACGAUAUGUAAAGAUCCGUGAGCGCCGCCCUCUGAUCCCAUGAGAAUUCAAAGGUAAUGCCAGUCCCUGUUUCGAAGUCCCCCCCCCCCGCGCCCCCCCCCCGCCCCCACGAUGAAGCACAAGAACAGAAAGUGGCUCUCUGUCUCACCCCCCUCCAGUUUUGGUGUGCUGACCCAAGGCCCGCCAGGGGGAGAUUCAGCUGGGCUCUCCUCUCAUGCCUUCAGGACAUACUGAUGUGCCCCGCGUGCCCCAGGAAUCUCCAAGUGAGGGAGCGAGCCAGACUGUAGAGCACAGCCCACAAAAGGGGGUCAGGCUCGAAGCCCAACGUCCUUGAUCCACACCCUGCCUCGGCCACCUGCUAGCAAGUGAUUCAGAAGAAGCCGCUCAACCCAUUUGUGCUGUUUUCCUCAUUUCCUCACCCGGACAGCGGGGCUAACACCAGCUAACAGCCUCCUAGGGCUGCCGGGAAGAUGGGACGGGCGGAGCCUAGGCCCACAGCAAACACUCACAGCCAUUACCGAAAUUGCGUUCUCUGGCCUCUGAGAGUCACACCCUGGGAAUGUCGGUAGGGCCAGUCCUGUCUUUGACAGACCUGCAGGUUGCCCAGGAGCGUGGGCAGUGUCUUCACUGGCCCAUCCUCAGCUGGGCCCCCCGGGGGGUCCUGGGCGAGGGAAGCCCGGGGUGAGGUACAUCCUCUUCCAGGGAGGGUGGGUUUGCUCUGCCAGGAGCCC